UAGGGAAUCUUCGGCAAUGGACGAAAGUCUGACCGAGCAACGCCGCGUGAGUGAAGAAGGUUUUCGGAUCGUAAAACUCUGUUGUUAGAGAAGAACAAGGACGUUAGUAACUGAACGUCCCCUGACGGUAUCUAACCAGAAAGCCACGGCUAACUACGUGCCAGCAGCCGCGGUAAUACGUAGGUGGCAAGCGUUGUCCGGAUUUAUUUGGCGUAAAGCGAGCGCAGGCGGUUUCUUAAGUCUGAUGUGAAAGCCCCCGGCUAAACCGGGGAGGGUCAUUGGAAACUGGGAGACUUGAGUGCAGAAGAGGAGAGUUGAAUUCCAUGUGUAGCGGUGAAAUGCGUAGAUAUAUGGAGGAACACCAGUGGCGAAGGCGGCUAUCUGGUCUGUAAAUGACGCUGAGGCUCGAAGGCGUGGGGAGCAAACAGG
rnacentral:rRNA from 1 species